GGGCCUGCACAAGCGGUGGAGUAUGUGGCUUAAUUCGAUGCAACGCGAAGAACCUUACCUACUCUUGACAUACUUGGGAGCUCUUGUAAUGAGAGUGUGCCUUUUGGAACCAAGAUACAGGUGCUGCAUGGCUGUCGUCAGCUCGUGUCGUGAGAUGUUCCGUUAAGUCGGAUAACGAGCGCAACCCUUACCCUUAUUUGCCAGCGAUUCGGUCGGGAACUAUAAGGGGACUGCCGGUGAUAAACCGGAGGAAGGUGAGGACGACGUCAAGUCAUCAUGGCCCUUACGAGUAGGGCUACACACGUGCUACAAUGGGGAAUACAGACGGACGCUAAGCCGCGAGGUGGUGCU
rnacentral:rRNA from 1 species